AAAUCAUGUGAAUUAAAAUCUAUCGGCGCUGAGGUGGCCGAGCUGUCUCAGGGAGGCUGGUCGAGUUGGAGGGGUGGCUUACAGUCGCUGAUCCAGCAUCUCAGGGACGAUGGCGGAGGGAGAUAAUAAUCGUAGCACCAACUUGCUGGCUGCAGAGACUGCAAGUCUGGAAGAGCAGCUGCAAGGAUGGGGAGAAGUGAUGCUGAUGACGGAUAAAGUCCUCCGAUGGGAAAGAGCCUGGUUUCCACCUGCCAUCAUGGGUGUGGUUUCUUUGGUGUUUCUGAUUAUCUACUAUCUAGAUCCAUCUGUUCUGUCCGGUGUUUCCUGUUUUGUUUUUGUGCUUGGCUGACUACCUUGUUCCCAUUCUAGCGCCUAGAAUUUUUGGCUCCAAUAAGUGGACCACCAAACAACAGCAGAGAUUCCAUGAAAUUUGCAGCAAUCUAGUAAAAACUGGCGCAGAGCUGUGGGCUGGUGGAAACGCCUCUUCACACUAAAGGAAGAAAAGCCUAAAAUGUACUUCAUGACCAUGAUCAUUUCUCUUGCUGCGGUUGCUUGGGUGGGACAACAAGUCCACAACCUGCUUCUCACCUACCUGAUAGUGACUUUCUUACUGUUGCUUCCUGGACUUAACCAACAUGGAAUCAUUUCAAAGUACAUUGGAAUGGCCAAAAGGGAAAUCAACAAGCUUCUCAAACAAAAAGAAAAGAAAAAUGAAUAAUUCAUUUGCUUUCUUCAAUGUGAUUAAUGGAGUGUACAUUAUCCCUGGGAACAGUUUCUACUAUACUAUGUGGAUACUAAAAUGUUACAGAAGUAGCUCUUUGCUCUCCCUCACUCUGCCCGUAGUUAA